CGGCUCCCGCUUUCCCGGCCGCCGAGCCCGAGCCGCCGUGGGCGGGGCCUGCGGUGAUUGGCGGGCGGGCGGGGAGGUCGGAAGUACUUUGUUUUUUAUGCUAAUGAGGGAGUGGGGCUUGUCCGUAUUUACGUUGAGGCGGGAGCCGCCGCCCUUCAUUCACCCACAUGGUCCUUCGAGGUGCUGCCGCCGCUGCCCGACCUGCGCCUUCGCGCCACUUCGCGCCCUCGGGCGAGGCCGAGGGGGUGGGGACGACCCCCGCCGCGCCGCCGCGGCUCGCGCCCCCUCGCGAAGCCCCCUCCGCGGGGCGGGCCGGCCGGCUGGCCGCACCCCCGGCCUGGGGCCUCCGGUCGUAGUAAAGCGGAGGCGGGUGGGGAGGCGGGAGCGAGAGCCCGCGGCGGGCGAGGCGAAGAUGGUGGCGGCUACUCCUCCUGUCAUACACGUGGACCUAACUGCACCAAAAGCUUUUCUAAGGAUAUUUGCUGAGAAGGAAGUUUUCCCGAGUGGAGCUUCAGAACCAUCACUAACAAAAAGAGAGCUGUCAAAGAUGGAGACUUAUUCCUUAAACCCGUCUCAGUUUACUAUAGGAUGA
rnacentral:lncRNA from 1 species